rnacentral:rRNA from 1 species
AACACAUGCAAGUCGAGGGCGAUUGAUAUUAGCAAUAGUAUUAAUUGACCGGCGGAAGGGUGCGUAACGCGUGAGUMACUUACCCGUUACAGAGGGAUAGUCGAUGGAAACGUCGUAUAAUACCUCAUAGUAUAGAUUUAUCCCCUGAUAGAUUUAUUAAAUCGUAAGANGUAACGGAGUGGCUCGCGUCCCAUUAGUUAGUUGGCGUGGUAACGGCACACCAAGACAACGAUGGGUAGGGGUUCUGAGAGGAAGGUCCCCCACACUGGAACUGAGACACGGUCCAGACUCCUACGGGAGGCAGCAGUGAGGAAUAUUGGUCAAUGGACGAAAGUCUGAACCAGCCAAGUAGCGUGCAGGAUGACGGCCCUCCGGGUUGUAAACUGCUUUAGUUCGGGAAUAACGACGGGGACGUGUCCCCGGGAAGAAUGUACCGAAAGAAUAAGGACCGGCUAAUUCCGUGCCAGCAGCCGCGGUAAUACGGAAGGUCCAGGCGUUAUCCGGAUUUAUUGGGUUUAAAGGGAGCGUAGGCGGACUGUUAAGUCAGCGGUUAAAGAGUGUGGCUCAACCAUACGAUGCCGUUGAAACUGGUGGUCUUGAGUGCACACAGGGAUGCUGGAACUCGUGGUGUAGCGGUGAAAUGCUUAGAUAUCACGAUGAACUCCGAUCGCGAAGGCAGCCAUCCGGAGCGUAACUGACGCUGAGGCUCGAAGGUGCGGGUAUCGAACAGGAUUAGAUACCCUGGUAGUCCGCACGGUAAACGAUGAAUACUCGCAGUUCGGUCAUUAUGAUUGAGUUGUCCAGCGAAAGGUCUAAGUAUUCCACCUGGGGAGUACGCCGGCAACGGUGAAACUCAAAGGAAUUGACGGGGGCCCGCACAAGCGGAGGAACAUGUGGUUUAAUUCGAUGAUACGCGAGGAACCUUACCCGGGCUUGAACCAGGAGUGACGAGUGCAGAGAUGCACUUUUUCUUCGGACACUUUUGGAGGUGCUGCAUGGUUGUCGUCAGCUCGUGCCGUGAGGUGUCGGCUUAAGUGCCAUAACGAGCGCAACCCUUUUCUACGUUUGCCAUCGGGUAAUGCCGGGAACUCCGUGGAUACUGCCGCGCAAGGCGGAGGAAGGUGGGGAUGACGUCAAAUCAGCACGGCCCUUACGUCCGGGGCUACACACGUGUUACAAUGGUCGGAGCAGCAGGAAGCUACCUGGCGACAGGAUGCUGAUCCCAAAACCCGGCCUCAGUUCGGACUGGAGUCUGCAACCCGACUCCACGAAGCCGGAUUCGCUAGUAAUCGCGCAUCAGCCAUGGCGCGGUGAAUACGUUCCCGGGCCUUGUACACACCGCCCGUCAAGCCAUGAAAGCCGGGGGUGCCUGAAAGCCGUGACC